rnacentral:rRNA from 1 species
GAUGAACGCUAGCUACAGGCUUAACACAUGCAAGUCGAGGGGAAACGAUAUUGGAAGCUUGCUUCCGAUAGGCGUCGACCGGCGCACGGGUGAGUAACGCGUAUCCAACCUGCCCAUCACUUGGGGACAACCUUGCGAAAGUAAGACUAAUACCCAAUGACGUCUCUAGAAGACAUCUGAAAGAGAUUAAAGAUCUAUCGGUGAUGGAUGGGGAUGCGUCUGAUUAGCUUGUUGGCGGGGUAGCGGCCCACCAAGGCGACGAUCAGGAGGGGUUCUGAGAGGAAGGUCCCCCACAUUGGAACUGAGACACGGUCCAAACUCCUACGGGAGGCAGCAGUGAGGAAUAUUGGUCAAUGGGCGAGAGCCUGAACCAGCCAAGUAGCGUGCAGGAUGACGGCCCUAUGGGUUGUAAACUGCUUUUAUAAGGGAAUAAAGUGAGCCACGUGUGGCUUUUUGCAUGUACCUUAUGAAUAAGGACCGGCUAAUUCCGUGCCAGCAGCCGCCGUAA